UGAGGUAAUCACCUUUUUAGGCAAUUUUUUCCCUUCUACUUUUUACUGAUAACCGUCUAGAACAGUUAGUUAGCAAUUUGAAGCAGAAAUAAUUAUUCUAUCUACAUAAAUUAUAUGCUUCGUAAAUAAUUUUCUCUGUUGAGAACUUUGAUGUGUUGCUGUUACAUUUAUAAGUGUCAUAUUUUUAGCAUUUUCUCAAUUCUCGAUCAGUAGUGGUGAUAUAGUGGUUGAGCGGAGACUCAAUACUUCAAUUCUUCAAAAGGCUAAUUGUAAUGUUGAAAAAAAAAAAAAACUUCUCUCCAUUACCAAUAAGGGAUCCAUUAGUGAAGAAUAUGGUAUUUUAUGUGUAUAUUACAUACUCUAAUUGUGGACCUGCUCCUAUAUAUGUCCACCCACAUUCUUGCAUAUAGUAUUAUUAUAUAUUGGUUAUUCCCUCAUCAGUCCUAUCGAUCUAGAAAGGAUCACUUGAAUUUUCUAGGGAUCCAUUAACUAUUAAUUAAGACCUAGGCUAGAUCAUAUCAUCAUACUUAUUACACAUGCAUGCGUUAAACACUCGUGUAAAUAUAAAAUGAACCAACAUAUCUUCUAUCCAAAUAAAUCGUAUCUAUCUGUAUAUAUGUUUUCCUUUUUUCUUUCUUUUAUCUAUCAAUUUUUUCGUUGUAAC
rnacentral:lncRNA from 1 species